UACAGAGGUCUCAAGCGUUGUUCGGAUUCAUUGGGCGUAAAGGGUGCGUAGGCGGCGCGGUAAGUCGGGUGUGAAAUCUCGGAGCUUAACUCCGAAACUGCAUUCGAUACUGCCGUGCUUGAGGACUGGAGAGGAGACUGGAAUUUACGGUGUAGCGGUGAAAUGCGUAGAUAUCGUAAGGAAGACCAGUGGCGAAGGCGGGUCUCUGGACAGUGACUGACACCCAACUGCGAAAAGCGUGGGGGAGCA
rnacentral:rRNA from 1 species